rnacentral:rRNA from 1 species
GACGAACGCUGGCGGCGUGCUUAACACAUGCAAGUCGAACGGAAAGGCCCUUCGGGUUCCUCGAGUGGCGAACGGGUGAGUAACACGUUGGUGAUCUGCCCUGCACUUUGGGAUAAGCCUGGGAAACUGGGUCUAAUACCGAAUAGGACCACGCGCUUCAUGGUGUGUGGUUGAAAGCUUUUGCGGUGUGGGAUGGGCCCGCUGCCUAUCAGCUUGUUGGUGGGGUAAUGGCCUACCAAGGCGACGACGGGUAGCCGGCCUGAGAGGGUGACCGGCCACACUGGGACUGAGAUACGGACCAGACUCCUACGGGAGGCAGCAGUGGGGAAUAUUGCACAAUGGGCGCAAGCCUGAUGCAGCGACGCCGCGUGAGGGAUGACGGCCUUCGGGUUGUAAACCUCUUUCAAUAGGGACGAAGCGAAAGUGACGGUACCUAUAGAAGAAGCACCGGCCAACUACGUG